AUUCAGAAUUACUCUAAAUCUCAAAAAGGUUAUACCCAGUGGAUAAUCAGUGGAAAGGGUUACUUCCAAUUCAAUUUAAAUUGUGUUGAAAAAAAGCUCUACUGCUCGUCCAGCAGUCAGUCCCAUGACAUCGGAGGAUGAAGACGCUGCGGAAGCAGGUCUUGAGCAGCAGAAGGCGGCUGCCUGAAGCCCCACAAAGAAGGACACAUAUGCCAACAAAAAGUGUGGUCUGAUGGCCACUUCCAAACAUAGCAGGCUACCCCACCACAAAGAUUGUCUGCAUUUUCUUUGGUACCACCACUGCAAAUUUUGGACACACCUCCAAGACGCAAACCACACUCUCCUCAUCUGGAUGAUUCCAGUACUGGUACCAGCAUCCAUACGCAACCACAUCAACACAGUGACAUGGAGGACACAAUCACUCUACAAAUGCAGCCAGUAUUAGAAGGAAACAGCCCCCAGCACCUCUUGAAAGAAAUCUGUAAACUCAAAGAUGUGAAACCUCCAAGUUUAAGAAACUACAGAAGAGCUUGGCAAGAAGGAGCCGUGAACAGUCUACCUUAAUGGAUAUUAUGUGAACGGUUCUUUACCUUCCGUGGGAUAGAGUGACAAGCACGAUCCUACGGGAAUAUAACCUUUAGCAUCAUUAUAGCUAGACUAUUUGCCUAGACUCUUGUAGGUAGAGAUUGUGUAAUGCCUUAUAGCUCAACUGUAAUGUCAUAUUAUUAUGAAUAAGAGGGACUGAGAGAGAUUAAUUGACCUUAAACAGCUAUCAGCCAUUUUGUUUAAGUAGCAGCCAUGUUGUAGUGAAUAAGAAAGAUGCUUUGUAGAGAAAUCAUAAUAAUGCUGACAUUUCAUAGUACGUUCUGUGGGAAGCAAGGUCGUAGCUAUAGUCUUGAAAAUAUGUUAUUCGACAGCUUCUCUGUGUUUAGACUUCUUGUAAAGAACACGAAGGAGGGUGACAGCUAGUGAGUUCUGAAUAAAGAUGCAUUAUUGUUUUAAAA